UUCAAAAACUUUAUUUGUAAUUUUCAGUGCUAAAUAUCACCGCCCUUGAAGGCAGUUUAGAGGGCUGAUAUUUCUUUUGAGACUAUCAGAUUGAUGGCUGAUGAUUAUUAAGGAAAUAUGUCGCAGGACUCAAAGGAUGACUAAACGUUAAACAGGGACUCACAGGCUUUGGACAGCUAAGUAGCAGAUCUGCUGAGAAGUGUUCAGGCAUGAACAGCAAUUGCAAGACAGCUAACCUGAAGACAUUCAACUGCCUUUUGCUACAUGAAGGUCCUGUUUYCCUCCCUUUGGCAAUUAUACCAAUGUCCUGGAAGAAUUCUCUAAUGCUGACUAACAUCUUCUAUUUUACAUCUGCAAGUACAGGGCACUUCAUUAUGUGCAGGAACUGA
rnacentral:lncRNA from 1 species